UACGGGGGGGGCAAGCGUUGUUCGGAAUUACUGGGCGUAAAGGGCUCGUAGGUGGCCAACUAAGUCAGGGGUGAAAGACGGUAGCUCAACUAUCGCAGUGCCCUUGAUACUGAAGAGCUUGAAUGUACUUGAGGUAGGCGGAAUGUGACAAGUAGCGGUGAAAUGCAUAGAUACGUCACAGAACACCAAUUGCGAAGGCAGCUUACUAAAGUAUGAUUGACGCUGAGGCACGAAAGCGUGGGGAUCAAACAGG
rnacentral:rRNA from 1 species